AGAAGUAUAAUUUACACAACAAAAAAUUUUAACUUUUAACUAAAAAAAACAGGUUAAAAUCCUGUUACUUCCA
rnacentral:tRNA from 1 species